rnacentral:lncRNA from 1 species
GGGCCAAUCAGAACCUGCCGGGGGGUCUCUAUGCUGACCGGAAGUGGGUCUGUUACCCGGGGGCCAUCUUGCCGCUCGAGGUGCCGAGCCUUAGAGACGCGGGUCCCCGGGGGUCGAGGAAGGGGAGGCAGCUGUCGGUCACCGAGCUCCCGGGCGCAGGCCAGCCCGAGACCAGGCCCUAGAACCUUCCAGAUGCCGGUGGUGAGGGACGACAACUGCCCCUGCUCCUCUCCCCUCUGCCCAGCUGCCCAGCGAGACUGUGGGGCAGACACGUGCACAUGGAUUGAACUCCCGGGGCAGGGACCUUCGCUAUUUGUUCUCUGCUGCGGCAGAGGUGCUGAAGGAGGAGCUCAGGAAUCCUCGUCGGGUGGACAAAUGACAGGAGAGUGGGACAUACCGAAUGGAUGAACGACUGCAGGGCAAGAUGGUGUGGACGCUCGAACCAAGAAUGUGCCCAUCCGAGAGUUUCUGCUGCCUGGUCCCGGUCCCAUCUGGGUGCAGGGAGCUUGUCCGACACGCCAGGCUUGGGAACGUGCCCCCUCCGGUCCCCGUGCCCGGGGCCAGGGGUGAGCGGGGGCGGGUGCAGACCCCAGAGGGCACUGGGCGGACGCCCCUCAACCCUGCCGGGUGUCACGGCGGCCGGCGCGCUUCAGCAGGGCCAGCGCCACCGGGUCUUUAUUUUCUCAGAAAAGCAGGGAAUCUUUCGUUUUUAAUGCCAUUCCUCCCAAUUUUUAAACAUUGGCAACGAUUUCAAAGUCACUUAAAACCCUGUUUUAAAAGCAAAAAAAAAAUAAAUAAAUAAAAAGGAGUGUGCCUGAUGGGGUUUGAGCCCCUGGGGGAGGAAUUCAAGCCGGGCCUGGGACUCAGGGGGUGCUGGUGGGAGGCCACACCUGCUUCAGAACGGGUUUCUGGGGAGCUCGGGGACUGAGCGCCCGAGACCCCGGCCUCCCCAUUAGGAGCUUCUAUCCUGCACCCAGGAGGGACCUGAGGUGGGAGAGGGCGGUGGCUGGCUGGGGGCCACCCUGGGGGCGGUUGACAGCUGGGUCUGGCAUGUCAGCUGACCCACCCACCAGCCACCCGGUUCGUUAGCAAUGGGCAUGGAAAGGGUGAGGAUAGGGGUCUGUUUGGGGGAAGGUCUUUGGGGCCCUGAUCAUACAUGUCCUGUUGCCAUUGUGUGUUCAGAGCAACAGCCCAGUGGAUGGGACACAGGGCUGAGGGGUGAGGGGUGGGACAGGUCCUGGCCUCUCUGGGCCCUGUAGGGCCCCGGGGACAGGGACCCGCGAUGCUCCCCCAUCUGCCGCACCACUUGGGGCUGGGGGUGAAGCGGGAUCAGUGGGUCCAGGACUCCGGAGGCUGUGGGAGGGCCCUAGGGGGCAACACCUGGUGUCAUCUCCCAGGUUGCUCCAGGUGUGGCUGCUGCUGAGUGCCACGGGCCCUGGACCCGCCAGCCCGCUGCCCUCCCCAUCACGGCUCAGUCACAGAGCUUGCACACCUUUACCAGCCCGCACCGGGUGCAUUCCAACCCCAGCCCUUGCACUUGCUGUUCCUCUCCGUGGGACAGCCUUCCUCCAGAGUGUCGCAUGACUGGCCCCUCCUCCCCAUGCAGGAGGCAUCCCUCCCCAGAACGUGCUUCCCUGAGCUCCCUGCCUUCCCCAUCUGUUGUGACACUUGUUGUCUCCUCUGCAUGGGACCUACUGCUCUUGUAUCUUGCUUAUUGUGACCUUCCUGUCCUGGGAAUAUCAGCUUGUUGAACUCGGGGAUCAUGGACUAUUUGUUCACUGCUCUAGCCCCAGUGCCUAGAAUAGUGCCUUCUACACGGUAGGUACUCAGUAAUUAUGUGUUCUGUGAAUUACGCUUAGCGGAUUGUUGGAUAGGGAUGGAUGGAUGGAUCAUGGAUGAUGGCUAGGGAUGGUUAGGGAUGGAUAGAUGGGAUGGUUGGAUCAUGGAUGGAGGGAUGGAUGGAUCAUGGAUGGUUGGAUCAUGGAUGGAUGGAGGGAGGGAGGGAGGGAGGGGCGGAUGGAUGAAUCAUAUUUGGAGAAUAGGGAUGGAUGGAUAGGGAUGUUUAGGGAUGGAUGGAUGGAUGGAUGGAUGGAUGGUUGGAUCAUGGAUGGAGGGAUGAAUGGAUGGAUGGGUCAUAGAUAGUUGGAUCAUGGAUGGAGGGAGGGAGGGAGGGAUGAAUCAUGGAUGGAGGAUAAGGAUGGAUGGAUAGGGAUGGAUGGAUCAUGGAUGAUGGUUAGGGAUGGAUGGAUGGACUAUGGGUGGAUAGAUAGAUGGAUGAGCAGUUAGAUGGAUAGACAAGUGCAUAGAUAGGGAUGGAUGAACAGAUGGGAGGAGAGGUAAAGAGGGAAGGAGACAUGGAUGGAGCUGGUCCUGGGCAGUGGAAGGGCCAGCUAGGUUGAGAUAGUCACCAUGGCAGGCUGGUGCAGGGGUCCCAGGCUUGGGCCUGUGGCUCUGGCUGCCUCCCAGAGCAGAGGAGGUGGCCCAAACUUGGUGCCUGGGGAUGGUCCAGUGCUUCUUCUCCCUCACCAGGCGACUUCAGGAAAGUCUCUGCUCCUCGGGGCUCAGGUUCUUCCUUCGUUGUCCAUGAGUUGCAGUCCUCAGGCUGCCUUCCUCAUGGGGUAGGGGAGUCUAAAAAAUCAUGGCAUUUGUGGCUGCUUUGGGACCUCGAAGCAGAGGCACAUGCAUCCCAGGAGGCAAGGACAAGUGUGCUCGUGGUGGAAUCCUUUAUGACAAUCCAUUAGGAAGACCCUAAAUGGUCACCCACUCAAAGUGGAAGCCCCCACUUGUUGUUGGGUACCAGGCAGCCCUCACAUGCUGGCCAGCCCACGACACCUGUGUGGCUCCUGGAAAGGAGCUUCCCCCGAGCAGGUGCAUUACAAAGAGGUGCCCCCGUCUCUAGGCCAGAGAGCAAGGCUGAAUUCAGCCCCCACUCGCCCUUGGCCUGCCUCAGGACAGUGACUGACAGCACACGGCGGCCACGGGAAGACCUCCAAGGCACGUGCUGGGGGGAAAAGGCAAGUUGAGGAACAAUGUGGUGCCACCGAUGAGAGGGGAGUCCCAGGAAAGUUGCUGCAAAUCUAUGGGUCUAUCGAUCUAUCUGCCUGCUCUCUCUCUCGCACCUGGAUCUACCUGCCUGCGGCCCAUCCCUCUCUCACUGGGUAUCCAUCUGAGCUGGCAGCCCAUCACCUGUAUGGACCAAGUACCUACAUCUAUGUACACACACAGGAUAAAAAUCCAGCAGUGACCCCCCCCUUACCCCCAGCUGGGUAAGACCAGAGAGGUGUGGGGCGCACGGGGUCAAAGGGACGCUGGCCUUACUGCCCUGCCCCAUCAGUCCUGAGAGGAGGCCAGAUUCAGGUCCCAAGCAAGUGCUUAAACGGUAAUAAAACAUCGAGCGCCGUCCCCGGCCCA